rnacentral:tRNA from 1 species
GCUGUGAUGGCCGAGUGGUUAAGGCGUUGGACUUGAAAUCCAAUGGGUCUUUCACAAGAGGUUCGAACCCCUGCUCGCGCA